rnacentral:lncRNA from 1 species
CCGCUCCGUUUCGAUGGCACUUAAUUCGUGCACUGUCACUCGUGUAUGUGCCACCGGGUUUUCCGUGAAGUCUUUCUUGCUCUCUAGGUGUGACUAAGGCGUACCAGGUUUUACUGUCGAGCAGACGCAAGGAGGGGCUGUAGCAAACUUCAGGCGCGGUCUGCAGGGACAGCUGUACUGAGAGCGAUGGGAACUGCACCGUGACUGCUUGGCCUUUAUCCAGCUUACUUUGCAUGAGACAAAUUAGUUCACCCUCCAGACUUUUACAACAGAAUGCUACUUGAUUAUACCUGUAUUUUGAGAGACCUGAAAAGAGUUAAGAGCCAAGAGGCAGCAAAAAACAUGGUGCAUCAUUUAUCAUCACUAGAGCAAUUACAGGCCCUGCAUUGUUUUUGCUUCGAUAUAUCCGGUACAGCCCUGCAAAGUUUGCCCUGCCAACUGGACUGGUUCGUCUGGUUAAUAAGCAGAUCAGCUGGCAUCUAG